GAGUGUCCUUUGCGAACAUUUUGCGUAC
rnacentral:sRNA from 1 species